GACGUAGGAGGCGAGCGUUAUCCGGAUUCACUGGGCGUAAAGCGCAUGUAGGCGGUUGGACAAGUCGUGUGUUAAAGCCCCUGGCUCAACUGGGGGAGGUCAUGCGAGACUGUGCGACUUGAGGGCAAGAGAGGCACGUGGAACUCCCGGUGUAGCGGUGGAAUGCGUAGAGAUCGGGAAGAACACCAGUGGCGAAGGCGACGUGCUGGGUUGCACCUGACGCUGAGAUGCGAAAGUGUGGGGGGCAAACGGG
rnacentral:rRNA from 1 species